AAGCGACCUCGCGAGAGCAAGCGGACCUCAUAAAGUAUGUCGUAGUCCGGAUUGGAGUCUGCAACUCGACUCCAUGAAGUCGGAAUCGCUAGUAAUCGUGGAUCAGAAUGCCACGGUGAAUACGUUCCCGGGCCUUGUACACACCGCCCGUCACACCAUGGGAGUGGGUUGCAAAAGAAGUAGGUAGCUUAACCUUCGGGAGGGCGCUUACCACUUUGUGAUUCAUGACUGGGGUGAAGUCGUAACAAGGUAACCGUAGGGGAACCUGCGGUUGGAUCACCUCCUUACCUUAAAGAA
rnacentral:rRNA from 1 species